rnacentral:rRNA from 1 species
UACGGGGGGAGCAAGCGUUGUUCGGAUUUACUGGGCGUAAAGGGCGCGCAGGCGGCUUUGUUUGUCAGGCGUGAAAGCCCCGGGCUUAACCUGGGAACUGCGUUUGAUACGGCAGGGCUAGAGUUCGGGAGAGGAGAGUGGAAUUCCCAGUGUAGAGGUGAAAUUCGUAGAUAUUGGGAAGAACACCGGUGGCGAAGGCGGCUCUCUGGACCGAUACUGACGCUGAGGCGCGAAAGCGUGGGGAGCAAACAGG